CUUGGGGACAGUUUCCAUAUUAUCUUUUGUGCCUCGCUGUGUUGCCAUAUAUCCCUGGAACACAGUCAAUGCACAGAAAGAAAUCUGUCUCCUGACUUUAGGACAAUGGCACGAUUGGUGGCCACAGUCCAAGGAUGGUUGCUGGUGAGCAGUUACAGAUGCCCCGAGACACAGCAGGCGACUUGCAUUUACAUCCUAACUGAGCUUGUUGGACACUGAAAUGGAGAGAGUUUCAAGACAACUCUGUGA